AUUUAAAGUCUGGCCUGCCCUAUGAAAAUUUAAAUGGCCGCAGUAUUUUGACUGUGCAAAGGUAGCAUAAUAAUUAGUUUUUUAAUUGAAAGCUGGAAUGAAAGGUUGAACGAAAAAAUAUCUGUCUCAAUUUAAUUUAAUUAGAAUUUUAUUUUUUAGUAAAAAAGCUAAAAUAAAUUUUAAAGACGAGAAGACCCUAUAGAGUUUUAUAUUUAUUAUUAUAUAUUUUAUAGAAUUUUUUUAUAAUUUGCGAUAUUUUAUUGGGGUGAUAAAUAAAUUUAAAUAACUUUAUUGAUUUUUUACAUUAAUAUAUGAUUAAUUGAUCCAUAUAAAUGAUUAUAGAUUAAAUUACCUUAGGGAUAACAGCGUUAUUUUUUUUUAGAGUUCUUAUCGAAAAAAAAGAUUGCGACCUCGAUGUUGGAUUAAAAUUUAUUUAUGGUGUAGAAGCUAUAAUAUUAGGUCUGUUCGACCUUUAAAAUUUUACAUGAUCUGAGUUUAAACCGGUGUGAGCCAGGUUGGUUUCUAUCUUAAAAUAAAUAAAAUAUUUUAGUACGAAAGGACCAAAUAUUUGUAAAUUUUACUUAAUUUUGAAUAC
rnacentral:rRNA from 1 species